AGAGGUCUCAACCGUUGUUCGGAUUCAUUGGGCGUAAAGGGUGCGUAGGCGGUCGCGCAAGUCGGAUGUGAAAUCUCAGGGCUCAACCCUGAAACUGCAUUCGAUACUGCGUGGCUAGAGUGCUGGAGAGGAGACUGGAAUUUACGGUGUAGCAGUGAAAUGCGUAGAUAUCGUAAGGAAGACCAGAGGCGAAGGCGAGUCUCUGGACAGCAACUGACGCUGAGGCACGAAGGCCAGGGGAGCAAACGGGAUUAGAUACCCCGGUAGUCCUGGCAGUAAACGGUGCACGUUUGGUGUAGGCGGAUUCGACCCCGCCUGUGCCGGAGCUAACGCGUUAAACGUGCCGCCUGGGAAGUACGGUCGCAAGAUUA
rnacentral:rRNA from 1 species